rnacentral:misc_RNA from 1 species
GAUGAAGAACGUAGCGAAAUGCGAUAAGUAAUGUGAAUUGCAGAAUUCAGUGAAUCAUCGAAUCUUUGAACGCACAUUGCGCCCGUCAGUAUUCUGGCGGGCAUGCCUGUUCGAGCGUCAUUACGCCCCUCAAGUCCCCUGUGGACUUGGUGUUGGGGAUCGGCGAGGCUGGUUUUCCAGCACAGCCGUCCCUUAAAUUGAUUGGCGGUCUCGCCGUGGCCCUCCUCUGCGCAGUAGUAAAACACUCGCAACAGGAGCCCGGCGCGGUCCACUGCCGUAAAACCCCCCAACUUUUUAUAGUUGACCUCGAAUCAGGUAGGACUACCCGCUGAACUUAAGCAUAUCAAUAAGCGGAGGA